CAGCUCAAAUUUGAAAGCUGGCCCUUUCAGGGUCCGCGUUGUAAUUUGUAGAGGAUGAUUCGGCGAGGGCUCCCGCCUAAGUCCCCUGGAACGGGGCGUCAUAGAGGGUGAGAAUCCCGUAUGCGGUGGGCUGCCUUAGCCAUGUGAAUCUCCUUCGACGAGUCGAGUUGUUUGGGAAUGCAGCUCUAAAUGGGAGGUAAAUUUCUUCUAAAGCUAAAUACCGGCCAGAGACCGAUAGCGCACAAGUAGAGUGAUCGAAAGAUGAAAAGCACUUUGGAAAGAGAGUUAAAAAGUACGUGAAAUUGUUGAAAGGGAAGCGCUUGCAACCAGACUUGUCCGCAGUUGCUCAGCCGGUCUCCUGACCGGCGUACUCUUCUGCGGCCAGGCCAGCAUCAGUUCGGGCGGUCGGAUAAAGACCUCGGGAAUGUGGCUCCUCUCGGGGAGUGUUAUAGCCCGGGGUGGAAUGCGGCCAGCCUGGACUGAGGAUCUCGCUUCGGCAAGGAUGCUGGCGUAAUGGUUGUAAGCGGCCCGUCUUGAAACACGGACCAAGGAGUCUAACAUCUAUGCGAGUG
rnacentral:rRNA from 1 species